rnacentral:rRNA from 1 species
AAGUGACAGAACUAGUCAUUCCAAAGUCGUAAGACCAUGUAUGGGGGCUAAAGCCCCGCCCAAUGCCGGAAGAUUAAGAAGGUUGAUGACUUGAUGACAGGGGAGCUGACGACAGAAGCCUUGAAGAACAACGGCCGUAAUUAUAACGGUUCCAAGGUAGCAAAAUUCAUUGUUGGGUAAUUUCCAACCCACAUGAAAGGCUUAACGAUUU